UACGGGGGGGGCAAGCGUUGUUCGGAAUUACUGGGCGUAAAGGGCUCGUAGGCGGCCAACUAAGUCAAACGUGAAAUCCCUCGGCUUAACCGGGGAACUGCGCUUGAUACUGGAUGGCUUGAGAUUGGGAGAGGGAUGCGGAAUUCCAGGUGUAGCGGUGAAAUGCGUAGAUAUCUGGAGGAACACCGGUGGCGAAGGCGGCAUCCUGGACCGAUAUUGACGCUGAGGCGCGAAAGCCAGGGGAGCAAACGGG
rnacentral:rRNA from 1 species